ensembl:lncRNA
CCUCGAUCCCUUCUGAUAGUGAAGAUGAACUGCAUUUGAUGAUGUAUUCAUAUUAUAUAAUAGAUGCUGAGUCCCUGUAUUUAACAGAGAACAUAUGUAUUCACUAUAAUGAAUCGUAUCGUCAGGAAAGUCUGGUGGAAGCCAAGAAAGCAUCAUUGACAUGUUUCCAGUCCAUUGGAGGGCAAACACACAGAGAGACAGCUGACAGCUGAGAAAGGUAAUUUAACCGCGUGCUGCCCGACAACGAGGAAGACAGAAGAACAACGGUUUCUUCCCUGUGGAGAAGCGAGGUCCGACGCUCUCAUCCGGUGACCCGUCCGAGACGAGAGACGAGAGACGCACAGAGCUGACAGCAUCAAAAGCAGAGGCAUGGAGCUCCGGGAAUAGAAAGCCUUACAUGUUCACCUGCAAGUGUUUCAUGUAUGUCUCUCUCUUUCUCCCCCUUCAUCUUCUUAUAGUGGGGGAUCGCUGCUCUACGUGUUGCUGCAUACAAUGUAUUCAGUCUCUCCAGUCUCGCUUUGUAUUUUUUUUGCGCUGACGUUCCCUGGCAGCGGUGUGAUGUGUUGACCAAAAAUUGUUAGUGUAGGUAGAUGUUCUUUCAACAGGAGCAUUGAACCAGGAAGAGGUCGACAUGGUUUCACACAUCCAACACAACUAAUCACACAAUAUUGAAGGCAGCUUCCAUGGGAUCCCACGGGCUGCUGUGAGGAGAUAUACGCCGGUUUGACCAAGGCACUUUGCCUAAGUUGAUCACAAUGAAGCAGUCAGUUUCUUUAUUUUAAAAUAUUUGGAUUUAUUCCGCUUGUCCGUCAUCUCUCUGUCUAUCUGACUUUUAUUUAAACACUUCCCGUUUUCCUGUCAUCGGAAUUUAUAUAAAUCCCGGUAGCUAAGAGAUUGUAUUCUUGAAAAUACUGCUAUAGUGGAAAACAAAAGCUCCACCUACAUAUAAUUACUGCUCCCUGAUUUGUGAAAUUGAUUUCUUAUUGAGUUAAAAGCAUUUACACCUCAUCUUGUUUUAUUUAAAGCUGUCACCGAUACAGCUUUAAACGAUAUUUAACUUUUUGUAUUACGCCUCCGUUAUUUUUCCUUUAUGUUGGACACUUGCAAUAAUCUGAAUAUUGUUCAUUGCUGUCCAAGGAGGUUGGGAUAUCAGAAUGUAACAACGCAGGGGUAUUUGAUCAUUUGGACUUGAGGAUGGUGAUGUAGAGAUAUACUUCUGUAGUGCAAGACAUACCUAUCUGGACCAAAGGGGUGAAACUAAUGGAGACUUUGUUCUGAAAUGUAUUUGAAUUUUGUUUUACUCUUCAAUCUGUGCAACACCUUAAACUUUGAUAUAACUUCUUCUUUCUAGAUCACAUGGUGCAUGUGAGUGGCUGUGGCAAACAAAACAUGGCCUGGCGGUAACUUACUUAACCCAACCAGCAGCAAAACAGCAGACAAUAAAAGAAAACACAUUUUAACACAA